GCUCGCUUGGUGAAAUGGUAAACACUGCAGACUUAAAAUCUGUUGGGGCGACCCUUAUCGGUUCAAUUCCGAUAGUGAGCA
rnacentral:tRNA from 1 species